rnacentral:rRNA from 1 species
AACAUCUAAGUACCCCGAGGAAAAGAAAUCAACCGAGAUUCCCCCAGUAGCGGCGAGCGAACGGGGAGGAGCCCAGAGCCUGAAUCAGUGUGUGUGUUAGUGGAAGCGUCUGGAAAGGCGUGCGAUACAGGGUGACAGCCCCGUACACAAAAAUGCACAUACUGUGAGCUCGAUGAGUAGGGCGGGACACGUGGUAUCCUGUCUGAAUAUGGGGGGACCAUCCUCCAAGGCUAAAUACUCCUGACUGACCGAUAGUGAACCAGUACCGUGAGGGAAAGGCGAAAAGAACCCCGGCGAGGGGAGUGAAAAAGAACCUGAAACCGUGUACGUACAAGCAGUGGGAGCCUCUUUAUGGGGUGACUGCGUACCUUUUGUAUAAUGGGUCAGCGACUUAUAUUCUGUAGCAAGGUUAACCGAAUAGGGGAGCCGAAGGGAAACCGAGUCUUAACUGGGCGUUAAGUUGCAGGGUAUAGACCCGAAACCCGGUGAUCUAGCCAUGGGCAGGUUGAAGGUUGGGUAACACUAACUGGAGGACCGAACCGACUAAUGUUGAAAAAUUAGCGGAUGACUUGUGGCUGGGGGUGAAAGGCCAAUCAAACCGGGAGAUAGCUGGUUCUCCCCGAAAGCUAUUUAGGUAGCGCCUCGUGAAUUCAUCUCCGGGGGUAGAGCACUGUUUCGGCAAGGGGGUCAUCCCGACUUACCAACCCGAUGCAAACUGCGAAUACCGGAGAAUGUUAUCACGGGAGACACACGGCGGGUGCUAACGUCCGUCGUGAAGAGGGAAACAACCCAGACCGCCAGCUAAGGUCCCAAAGUCAUGGUUAAGUGGGAAACGAUGUGGGAAGGCCCAGACAGCCAGGAUGUUGGCUUAGAAGCAGCCAUCAUUUAAAGAAAGCGUAAUAGCUCACUGGUCGAGUCGGCCUGCGCGGAAGAUGUAACGGGGCUAAACCAUG